GACCCUUUCUGCAAGAUUCACUCAGCAGACAUGUUUUCAGAGCACCUGUUCUGUGUCAGGCCUGAGCUUUGCUCUGGGGAUCCAGAAGAAGUCGGGACAGACCGUUACAGUGCCACGUGAUGGCAGCUAAUGGAGGCCCCCGGCGAGGAACCAAGGCUGUCUGGCAACUACGUGAGGGAUUUGGACGCGGACCUUGGGCAGCCUGCCAACAGCCAUGUGAGUGAGCUUGGAAGUGGAUCCCGCAGGUCAAGUGGAGCCUUGAGGUGACUGCUGCCCGCAGCCGAUGGCCCGAUUGCAACCCCCGGGACACUGAGUCAGAGGCACCCAACUAAACCACACCUGGACACCUGACCCCAGAAACUGUGAGAUAAUAAAUUUGUGCUGGUUUAAGCCCCCCCCCCCCCCUCCAGUAUUGGGGCCAUUUGC